rnacentral:misc_RNA from 1 species
ACACGGUGAUGAUCCCUGUCUACUUCCAGAUGGAACUGAUGCUUAUGCCCUAGCCAAAAAAGCUGGUCGGUACAAGCAAAUCAAACGAACUGAGGGUGUCUCCAGCACAGACAUUGUAGGGAGGAUUCUUUCUGCUUCUAAAAGUGGAGAUUCUCCUCAAGAUUGCUCCAAUUCAACUCCGGUUGGCGAAGCUGAUGAUAUAAAAAAUAAAUUUGGUGCUGAAAAACAGGCUAAGGGUGGUCAGAUGUCUCAUUUUUUGCCCACUUCAAGACGAAUUGUGCAAUUUUCAAAUGGCAAGGGGCCUGCGCCUAAUUCUCGAGUGGUGUAUAUUGAUGGUGCAUUUGACCUUUUCCAUGCUGGACAUGUUGAGAUUCUCAAAAGUGCAAGGCAGCAUGGAGAUUUUCUUUUAGUUGGUAUUUAUCCUGACCAGACUGUCAGUGAACUUCGUGGACAUCAGUAUCCACUGAUGAAUCUGUAUGAGCGUAGUCUUGGUGUACUUGCAUGCCGUUAUGUUGAUGAGGUUAUCAUUGGUGCCCCUUGGGAAGUAACUCAGGAUAUGAUAACAACUUUCAACAUUUCUUUGGUUGUACAUGGAACGGUUUCUGAGAGCAACUUUUCCACAGAAGGAGGACAGGACCCAUAUGCAGUUCCUAAAAGCAUGGGAAUCUUCCAAGUAAUUGAGAGCCCUAAAGAUAUUACAACUUCUUCAGUUGCUCAAAGAAUCAUCGCUAACCAUGAGAUUUAUGUGAAAAGAAAUACCAAGAAAGCAGCAAGCGAGAAAAAAUACUAUGCGGAAAGGAAGUAUGUAUCUGGUGAUUAAGUUUUACAUCCAUUAUUCUGGCCCUCGUGUAGCUGACUUGUUCUAGGCGAAGUUGCUCCCUUUCUGAGGUAGUUGUUCCUGUACUUUUGUAUUUGAAAGAUGUAUGAACAAGAAGGGAACAAGAUAUAAGAAGAAAAUACCUACCCUAGACAGAAGAGCUAGAAGUUUUUGGUUCUAUUUUUCAUUUAUUUUGGCUGUAACCUUCCUCCUCGGUGAGUUGCCGAAGAUGGUUAAGCUAAUUUCCUAAUCUCAGGAAUCACAAAUUGAUUGUUGUAUUAAUAGUUAAUUUAAGAUCCAUUUUAAAAAUUUCAAGCAGUUUGACUUGACUGCCUCUGUACAUAAACUAGGUCUUGAUUCUG